GGAUGAAGAACGUAGCGAAAUGCGAUAAGUAAUGUGAAUUGUAGAAUUCAGUGAAUCAUCGAAUCUUUGAACGCACCUUGCACCCUUUGGCAUUCCGAAGGGUAUGCUCGUUUGAGUGUCAUUGUACUCUCACACUCUCCGAUCCUAUGGAUUCGGGGAGCGGUGGACUUGGGUGUUGCUGCCUUUCCUUGUGGCUCACCUCAAAUGUGUCAGUGCACCUCUUGGUUGGACAUAGUACGGCGUGAUAAGUGUCUUCGCCGGCACCUCGCAAGAGGGUGGCCGAUCGGGAGCUCUGUGCUUUCAAACCGUCUUCGGACAAUUUCUGACAACUUGACCUCAAAUCGAGUAGGACUACCCGCUGAACUUAAGCAUAUCAAUAAGCGGAGGA
rnacentral:misc_RNA from 1 species